AUAUGGCCAUGCCACGUCGAAACACCGGUUUCUAUAUGAUCACCGUUAAGUUAAGCAACGUUAAGCCUGAUCAAUACCUAGAUGAGUGACGGCUUGGGAAUACCAGGUGUUGUAU